rnacentral:lncRNA from 1 species
CAAAAUGUCCCUAAGUAGCCUCCAGGUGCUGGCUUGUUUAUAGCCUGCAGCUGGCCGGCCUGGGGGAGGGGCCGGAAGCCAGCAGCCAGCCACCCCAGGAAGGCCCCAGCGGGGAUGUAGAAUAGCCUGCACUUCUGAAGUCCUCUCCCUGGUGUGCGGACCCCCGGCUGACAGGAAGUCUGCAGGCAGGUGGAAGAGGGGCCCCGGGGCUGGGGGGAGGGGUGUGUAGGUGCAGUGCAGGAGCCGGUUCCGAAAGUUACACGAAGCGGUGCCUGAGAACUUGGGACAAAGUUUGGCAAGGAGCAACCAGAGGGCUGGAGAAGCAGGGGCUCCUGGCUGGGGCUAGGCCCUUUAUGUAGGAAGCAUCCCCAACAGCACUCAAAAGUUGGUCCUGCCAUACCCACCUGCUAGAUGCAGAAACUGAGCUCAGAGAGUUAGGUGCCUUCGCCAAGGUGGCCAGCAUGCGGGAAUGGGAGGCAAGCCUCAAACUCUUGCUCCCUGGGUGGUGCUGAAUGGCAGCAGGAGGGUGUUCGGGGUCUGAAAGGGGAGAUUAGCACUUGUGACAAACCUUGGCUGCCCCAAGGGCUGUUUUUGUACUGAGCCCAAGGCGCUCUACCACUGAGCUACAACCCCAGGCCUGUCAAUUUUAUUUUGUUUUUAAUUUUUUUUUUUUUGAGGCAGGCUCUUACUCUGCAGUUCCGGCUGACCUUAAACUCACUAUGUAGGCCAGGUUGGCCCGAGGCCCUGACUUGGCCACCCAGGUGAUCCUCCUGGCUCAGCUUCCCAAGUGUUAGGGGUACAGGUAUGUGGCACCACAUCCUGCUCUCAAUUUGAUUUUUCAGACAGGGUCUCUGAGUUCUGCAGGCUGACCUAAAAUUUGUGAUCCUCCUGCCUCAAACUCUCCAGUAGCUCAGAUUACAGGUAUGGCCACCACACCCUGCUAAAUUAUUUUUUCCAACUGAAAUUUGGAUCGAGGUCAUUGGGCAUUCACGUGCAGUCGUAAGGAGCAAGACAGAGAGAUCACAGGGACCCUUUCCUAUACAACGUCACAGCCAGGGCAUCAACACUGGCACGGUCCACCUGUCGGGUGCGGAUCUUUCAUCUCACACUCCUGCGUGGCCUGGACAGUUUACCCUGUUGAUGGUGGGGGGGGAGGGUUUGGAAAGGUGUGAGGCAGUUGGCAACGAGCCCAGCAGCCAGGACCAAUCAUCAUCCGGUCCAGGGGAAAACAGCAGCAAGCGGUUCUAUGACAGCCUCGCACCUCCCACUGGCCUGCCACGGAGAAGGAUUAGGGUGGAUGCGAACAGUGUUAUUACUGCCACCUUCCUAUGCCCUGGAGGUGGGGUGAACUCAGGGUGCAGCGGCUUGAGACAUGAUUCACAGCCUGACUCAUUCAGCCAAGGGCCACCUGAGGGGACGGCUUUUCCCUGGGAGGCGGGCUCAGCCCUCCCAGGUGCUGUGUCCCCUUUAAGAAGGGGACAAAAGGCUCUCUUCACACAUCAAAGAAAAUUUGGGCCACAGUUAGGCUUCUCUGCUUUCAGGAUAUGAUACAAUUUUUUUUUUUCUUUUUUUUCUGGUACUGGGGAUCGAACUCAGGACCUUGCACUUGCAAGGCAGGCAAGGUGCCACUGAGCUAAAUCCCCAGCCCUUCUUUUGGUUUUUUGAGCCAGGGUCUCACUGGGUAGCCCAGGCUGGCCUUGAACUUGGAGCAUUUCUCCUACCUCAGCCUCCUGAAUGCUGGGCAUGUGCCAUGGUGUCUGGGAGAACAUAAUACAAUUCUUAUCAAGUCUAAUACAGUACUUUCUUUUAAAUACAUUAUUUCUAAUAGUUUUCAAUUUACAGAAAAGAUGGCACAGAGAGGUACCACAAACCUACUUUCCCCCAUUAUUAACAUCUUACGUUACUGGAGAUAUUUGCCAUACUGAAUGAAUACUGAUAUAUUAUUAUUAAACUAUGGCCCAGAAAAAAAAAAAGCAGGUGUCCCUCUAUGCAGUCACAGCUUCUGUCUCAGUGUUACUUGUAUUCACAUUCUGCCUGUGGCUUUUUUCUAUUUGUUUUGAUGUAGGGUCUUGCUAUGUAGUUCAUGCUGGCCUUGAACUCUUGGCACUCUUCCUGCCUCAGCCUCCCAGGAGAGCUAACCCUCAGUGGGUUGGACUGGGCAAUCCCAUGGUCCAGGUGUGAGCCCUGGCUCUCUGGUAAGCUGUGGAGAGAGAUACCUGGGCCUUCCGAGCCGUGCCAGGGCUUCAUCUCCAGAAUGGCAGCAUCCCACUGGCUCGGGGGCUGCUCGGGUGUCCAGUACAUUGUGGGUGCUCAUUACCCCGGAUCAAUCACUGUUCUGCGUGGCAGAACAUCAAAGGGUGGAAGGUUCUGUAUUUGUGCUGCCCAGCGUGGUAGCUGUCAAGCCACAUGCGGCUCCUGAGCACGUGAGGUGUGGCUAGUGUGACUGAGGAACUGGAAAUUGAUUUCUAAUUGGGAUUUAAGUGUAAAUAGCCACAUGUGGCUAGUGCCCCGCAGCCCAGUGUGGCGUACAUAGCCUGAUACACCUGGGUUCUCAGGCCUGUCCUGGCUGUGAGGCCACCCCCUGGCCUUAUACCCAUGCCAGAUGCUACCUCGUGGCCUCUGGGGGUGCUAGGCUUGUCCUAACCUGGUCAGCAUGGCCCAGGGCGGAGCUUGUGACUGGCAGGCUGGCAGGCAGGUCGGCCCACUGGCGACCAGCAGUCUCCAGCAGCAGCCCUUUGGAAGGGGAGGGGACCCCUGGACAGCUUCCGAUGGCUUACCCCUCACAGCCGAACACCUCCUGGGUGGUACCAAUCCGCUCUGUGGAUUUCCCAGAGGGUAGCCUGAACUCGAGUGAUCUCUUCUCCAACUGUACUUCCUCCUCUUCUGCCCCAUGAAGGGCGGAGCCAGUGCCCAACGGGGGGGGGGGGGGGCUCGUCCCUGUCCCCUCCGCAGGCCUCCUGGGUCUGUCCUCCUCUGUCUCUAACCCUCCCACAAUCCAGGCUGGCCAUCAGCCCCAAGAUGACUUCAAAGCCUGGAUCACAGCCCCCAGCUUUGCGACUGUCCUGCCCGGGCCUCAGCAGGAACCGCAGCCUUCUCAUCUGGUUCACUAAGCCUCGUGUGACCCGCCCGCCCCAGGGUGCUGUUUCCCAGCUAAGCAGCCUUUUCCUUUUCUUUUGGCAGACCUGGUCCUUCUUGCUUCUGGGCCUUUGUACAAAUCUGCUCUCCGCCUAGAACGCGGGUUUCUCUCAAUGGACAGGGCCCGCUGACACGUUCCACCUCUCCUUACACCUGGGGCCUGCCGGGACCGAGCUGUGCGCCCUGCCCCGCACCCGGUCGGGGUGCAUGAUCAACGCCUGCAUCCAGUCCGCGAAGGGGGCGCCACGCCAGCUCCGGGCCUCUCGGGGGGGGUCACACUCUGAUGGGAAGGAUGGAAAGUACAGGGGAUGUAGAAACCAAUACAAAUUGUGCCUGAAGAAGAAAACCUACAAGCGAGGACGAGGAGGGGUCUGGAGCGGGGCAGAGCCUCCUGCGGGGCGGGGAGGGGCUGGCACGCUGCACUCUCUGCGGCUGCGCGCACGGCCCGAGGGCGCCGCGGGGGACGGGGCGGAGCGUGUGGCCGCCGGCCCCGCCCCUCCCCGCCCCCGGCGCGCGGCCC